rnacentral:rRNA from 1 species
UUGAAAGGGAAACGAUUGAAGGCAGUCAUGCUGGUGGGAAUCAACUUAGGGGANACUCUAGGUGCACUUUUUCGCUUGGCAGGUUAACGUCGAUCUUGAAUGCCAUAAAAUAAUUGGGGGAAGGUAGCUCCUUCGGGAGUGUUAUAGCCCUUGAUAGAUGUGAUGUUUGGGGUCGAGGAUUGCAACGGAUACCCUUUGGGGCUAGCCGCCUGAUCUCUAAUCGGUGUUGGGUUACGGAUAGCAUGCUGACCGUGAUCUAAUUACUGGUUAAAAGGUUAGAGCGUGCAUAAAUUCGUUAAGGAUGUUGACGUA